GGCUGUGUGUUCACGUGUCGACAGAUUAGUGGUCGAGAAGUCAUUCGUGUUUUUCUUUUGCUACAUGUGUCCAGCAUUAGAAACAAGUGCAAAUAAAGCGUGCGUUCCUUGCGCCGGCAUUUAAAUUAUUUUCGUCGAACUGUGCAGUGCAAAGUUAGAAAAUCUACAAUCUCUUACGCAUUUACUAGAAAUUUCUACCAAUAGAUCAAGGAAUUAAUCGCUAUCAAUGAAAAAACGUUUUAUAAGCUUAUAAGGAGCUCCUGGCGACAGAUUACAAGCGAUGAUGUGGCGAAGUUUUUCUCCUGGCGUGGGACAGAAUCCAAAAUGUGUGUAAGAGGACUUCGAACCACUUUAGCACUAAGAAGUGCAUUUAAACAGAAGCUUGCGCCCGAGGAUCAGGACUACGACCAUACAACUCAAAAAUAUUUCCAGUAUGCUCAGGAACGGAAGGCCAGAUUGGAAAAAAGUGAUGGGAAAAAGCUUAAAUUGUAGUACAUAAUACAUAUGUACAUAUACAUAU